CGUGCGCGACCCGGCACGAUCAGCGCUUCCGGAUAAACCCCUCAAUCUCUCGUUAUCACCAAGGAGCCUGCUCCUACUAGUCUCUGGACCUUGGGGAGAAGAAGAACACGGAGCUCAGUUCAAGACCGCUUUCUCUCGGGGGUACUUUCACAAACCCUAGAACCCUGAUCUUGUACCUCGUCAGGUCUCCUAAUCUUGUUGCUUUUGUAGCUUUUCUCUCGCAUCGUGUACUAAUCAGCUAGACUCUACCAGAUUCCUCUUAAUAUCUUGAAUUUUAUCGAGGCUUUUGAUAUGUUCCAGUAUGUUGCCUUUUUUUUUUGUAGAUAGAUUAGUCUAUUGAUUAGUAUUGGAUUUGUAUACAGUUUGGUGAAGGAAGAAUGGAAAGGAGCUGAAAGUUUCUUUAAAUUUGAAUUUAGAAGAUGCUGUUGGAGAGGAACCCUAGUCUUACUGUUAACG
rnacentral:lncRNA from 1 species